CGGUUCGCUGCCGAGAGGUCGCGAGAAGUCCACUGAACCUUAUCAUUUAGAGGAAGGAGAAGUCGUAACAAGGUUUCCGUAGGUGAACCUGCGGAAGGAUCAUUGUCGAAAUCGAACGGAAGAACGACCCGCGAAUCGUCACCGCAUACCGGAGAGAGCCCCUGAGCAGCUAAUGCUCGCGCGGCUCGCGUCGCGUCGGCGCGGGUGUACUCGAGACCCGCGUCGUACCGGCGAACGAACAUCGUCAGCACGGAUCGUGCCAAGGAGCUGCACGGAGAGGAUCGUUGUGCCACGCCUCGGGUCGUCCGCGAUGCGAGAGCGGGGACGGUAUACGCGAUCUCUGCUCGAGUCUAAAUGACUCUCGGCAACGGAUAUCUCGGCUCUUGCAUCGAUGAAGAACGUAGCGAAAUGCGAUACUUGGUGUGAAUUGCAGAAUCCCGCGAACCAUCAAUUCUUUGAACGCAAGUUGCGCCCGAAGCCAUUCGGCCGAGGGCACGCCUGCCUGGGUGUCGUGAAUCCCCCUGCCCCUAUGCACCCGCAUUGGCGGGGAUAUGCUCGGGCGCAGAGUAUGGUCUCCCGCGGGAUCGGCAUGCACGGCAUGACGAGGCGCGGUUGGCCGAAAAUCGAGCAUGGCGGUGACGGGCACCACGGCGUUCGGUGGAUCGAACGAGAUUGGCUGCGUCGUGGGCUCGGCAUGCGGCGGGCUCCGGACUUUUACAAUCCCCGUGUGCGAUCCCAGGUCAGGCGGGGCUACCCGCUGAGUUUAAGCAUAUCAAUAAGC
rnacentral:rRNA from 1 species